AUUGAACGCUGGCGGCAGGCCUAAUACAUGCAAGUCGAACGAGUGGCGGACGGGUGAGUAAUGUCUGGGAAACUGCCCUAUGGAGGGGGAUAAAUACUGGAAACGGUAGCUAAUUCCGCGUACCCUCGGCUCUGCCCGGAUGGGAUUAGCUUGUGGGUGAGGUAACGGCUCACCUAGGCGACGAUCCCUAGCUGGUCUGAGAGGCUGACCAGCCACACUGGAACUGAGACACGGUCCAGACUCCUACGGGAGGCAGCAGUGGGGAAUAUUGCGCAAUGGGCGCAAGCCUGAUGCAGCCAUGCCGCGUGUAUGAAGAAGGCCUUCGGGUUGUAAAGUACUUUCAGCGGGGAGGCGUUACCCGCAGAAGAAGCACCGGCUAACUCCGUGCCAGCCGCCGCGGUAAUUC
rnacentral:rRNA from 1 species